rnacentral:tRNA from 4 species
GCUGGCAUAGCUCAGUCGGUAGAGCAGUUGAUUCGUAAUCAACAGGUCAAGGGUUCAAGUCCCUUUGCCAGCUCCA